rnacentral:rRNA from 1 species
AGAUUGAACGCUGGCGGCAGGCCUAACACAUGCAAGUCGAGCGGCCACUUCGGUGGCAGCGGCGGACGGGUGAGUAACGCGUGGGAAUGUGCCCUUUGGUACGGAACAACUGAGGGAAACUUCAGCUAAUACCGUAUGUGCCCUUCGGGGGAAAGAUUUAUUGCCAUUGGAGCAGCCCGCGUUGGAUUAGCUAGUUGGUGGGGUAAAGGCCCACCAAGGCGACGAUCCAUAGCUGGUCUGAGAGGAUGAUCAGCCACACUGGGACUGAGACACGGCCCAGACUCCUACGGGAGGCAGCAGUAGGGAACCUUGCGCAAUGGGCGAAAGCCUGACGCAGCCAUGCCGCGUGAAUGAUGAAGGUCUUAGGAUUAGUAAAAUUCGUUUACAACCGGGGAAGAUAAGUGACCGGUAACCCGGAGAAAGAACGCCCCGGACUAACGUUCGUCGCCGACGCACGUCCCGACGGU